UACGUAGGGACCAAGCGUUGUCCGGAAUUACUGGGCGUAAAGAGUUCGUAGGCGGUUUGUCGCGUCGUUUGUGAAAACCAGCAGCUCAACUGCUGGCUUGCAGGCGAUACGGGCAGACUUGAGUACUGCAGGGGAGACUGGAAUUCCUGGUGUAGCGGUGAAAUGCGCAGAUAUCAGGAGGAACACCGGUGGCGAAGGCGGGUCUCUGGGCAGUAACUGACGCUGAGGAACGAAAGCGUGGGUAGCGAACAGG
rnacentral:rRNA from 1 species